AGAAAUAUUAGAUAUAAAUUUCAGGACACUGAUAUAUGAACCACUAUCCAAUUUUUUUUGAAAUAAUGGAAGAAAAAUUUCUGUGGUUAUACACAAGAAGGGACAUAAAUCCAACCAUCAAUGGUGGUUAUACACAUGGAAUGGAAUAGGGAAGGGGGUUCAAUUUAUUGUUUACCAUAAUUUUUUUAUGAAUUCUAAAGGUACUAGUCAAGUACCUUUAGAAUAGUACCUUUAAAAUUCAUAGAAAUAACAAGAAUCUUCAAAAGAAAUGAAAGUCCAAAAAAAAGUUAUUUUUUGCAUAGGGGUAAUAAAAUCUUAGCAAUCCAAAAAAUUAAUUUCCACUGUCCCAUAUGCUUAUAAUCACAACCACAGAAUUACAUGCUUAUGAGAUCUUAAUUGACACUUUAGUUAAAAAAUUAGACUACCUUCAUAAGGCAUGUUGAGAAACUUUCCCUAUUUAUAGGCCUAUAAAUGGAGCUUAGGAGGGGUGGGAAGAAGAGAAUAAACAACUCUCAAUCUCUACUCCACUUUGAAAAGUGAAGAAUGAGUGGUUUACCACCACUGGCCACCUUUCUCUCCUCCACCCUCUCCCCCAAAUGGUAUCAUGGAGGAGCCCAACCCUCCUAGGCCACUGACUUUCAACCUCACAAUAAAUAUAUCAGGUGACUUGCCUAACAGUGAAUACAAAAGAUGAAAACAGAGGGAAGUGUGAUGAGAGGGCCACAAGGGGGACAGUAAGCUUCUUAGAAAAAAUGUUGAUAGUUGGAGGGGAAGAAUAUUGUCAUGAUGAAGGAAUGCUUGUUAAGAGAGAAGCCCGUGCCCUCAAUGGAAAGCUGACUGAAGACUGCUUGUUGGAGAGUGGUCCUUUAACUCUGCUUUGAGCACAGCACACCAGCAGCAUCACUGGAAGAUGCCCACUCUCAAGAUGUGUCUAAGAGACAAGUGGCAGAAACGGAGACUGGAGCAAAGGCCUUACAGUGAUGCUUCAGGACGAAGCACCUCCCUACACACCUCCACGGGCC